rnacentral:misc_RNA from 1 species
AACCAUUCUCACCUGCGGCUAGACCUGCGGAAGGAUCAUUAAAAAAAUCUUUUGCCCGCGGACCUUUUGUCGUCCAAGGCGCAAAAAGACCCACACCUGUGUGCACUGUUAUCGUUUCUUUGGCAGGGGCUUGGGUGGAAUUUUUUUCCCUCAACUUCUCCUUCGGCUCUAUCCUUUCUCUCGGGGGGAGGACAGCUGGACAUGGGAAGCAGUUUACCCUGCCAAGUAAACCUCAAACAC